rnacentral:RNase_P_RNA from 1 species
CUAAAUGAUCGCGGCUGCAUGACCGAAAGGGUGCAGGUGAGGAAAGUCCGGGCUUCGCAGGGCAGGAUGCCGGAUAACGUCCGGUGGAGGUGACUCCAAGGAAAGUGCAACAGAGAUAUACCGCCCGUUUUGCUGCGGAAGUUCCGCGGCCGGCAGCGCACGUUUGUGCCUGUUCGUACGGGUAAGGGUGGAAAGGCGGUGUAAGAGACCACCGUUGGCCUGGUAACAGGCCAAGCCAUGUAAACCCCAUCCGAAGCAAGACCGCACAUAAGGCGAUACGGCGGCCCGUCGUGCUUUAGGGUAGGUCGCUUGAGCCUGCUGGUGACAGCAGGCCUAGAUAGAUGAUCAUUCACGACAUAACCCGGCUUAUCGGCAGGCUCGU